rnacentral:tRNA from 1 species
GCCCUCGUAGCUCAGUGGAUAGAGCGUCGGUUUCCUAAACCGUGCGUCGCAGGUUCAAUUCCUGCCGAGGGCG